GGGUAGACAGAUAAUUCAGGGCAGACAGAUAAUUCAGAUGAAGGCGGGAGAAGAGGGGGUAUGUCUGCAUAAAUAUCCAAAUCAGAUUCCACUGAGCUCGGCUCACCCUCAGCCAUGCAUAAUGCAUUGUCC